rnacentral:rRNA from 1 species
UACAGAGGUCCCAAGCGUUGUUCGGAUUCACUGGGCGUAAAGGGUGCGUAGGCGGCUGGGUAAGUCUGAUGUGAAAUCCCUGAGCUCAACUCAGGAACGGCAUUGGAUACUAUCUAGCUCGAGGUGUGGAGGGGGGACUGGAAUUCUCGGUGUAGCAGUGAAAUGCGUAGAGAUCGAGAGGAACACCAGUGGCGAAGGCGAGUCCCUGGACACCACCUGACGCUGAGGCACGAAAGCUAGGGGAGCAAACAGG